CAGGUGGUAGACUGCUUGCCUGCCAUGCAUGGUGUCCCGGGUUUGAAUCCCGGCCACAUGA
rnacentral:tRNA from 1 species